UACGUAGGGGGGCAAGCGUUGUCCGGAAUCAUUGGGCGUAAAGAGCGUGUAGGCGGCCCGGUAAGUCCGCUGUAAAAAGUCAAAGGCUCAACCUUUGAAUGUCAGUGGAUACUGCCGGGCUAGAGUCCGGAAGAGGCGAGUGGAACUCCUGGUGUAGCGGUGAAAUGCGCAGAUAUCAGGAAGAACACCUAUGGCGAAGGCAGCACUCUGGGACGGUACUGACGCUGAGACGCGAAAGCGUGGGAGCGAACAGG
rnacentral:rRNA from 1 species